rnacentral:rRNA from 1 species
GCACUUUAUACUGUGAAACUGCGAAUGGCUCAUUAAAUCAGUUAUCGUUUACGGAAGUACCUUACUACAUGGAUACCUGUGGUAAUUCUAGAGCUAAUACAUGCUGAAAACCUCGACUUCGGAAGGGGUGUAUUUAUUAGAUAAAAAACCAAUGCCCUUCGGGGCUCCUUGGUGAAUCAUAAUAACUUAACGAAUCGCAUGGCCUUGCGCCGGCGAUGGUUCAUUCAAAUUUCUGCCCUAUCAACUUUCGAUGGUAGGAUAGUGGCCUACCAUGGUGGCAACGGGUAACGGGGAAUUAGGGUUCGAUUCCGGAGAGGGAGCCUGAGAAACGGCUACCACAUCCAAGGAAGGCAGCAGGCGCGCAAAUUACCCAAUCCCGACACGGGGAGGUAGUGACAAUAAAUACUGAUACGGGGCUCUUUUGGGUCUCGUAAUUGGAAUGAGUACAAUCUAAAUCCCUUAACGAGGAACAAUUGGAGGGCAAGUCUGGUGCCAGCAGCCGCGGUAAUUCCAGCUCCAAUAGCGUAUAUUAAAGUUGUUGCAGUUAAAAAGCUCGUAGUUGAACCUUGGGUCUGGCUGGCCGGUCCGCCUCACCGCGAGUACUGGUCCGGCUGGACCUUUCCUUCUGGGGAAUCUCAUGGCCUUCACUGGCUGUGGGGGGAACCAGGACUUUUACUGUGAAAAAAUUAGAGUGUUCAAAGCAGGCCUUUGCUCGAAUACAUUAGCAUGGAAUAAUAGAAUAGGACGUGCGGUUCUAUUUUGUUGGUUUCUAGGACCGCCGUAAUGAUUAAUAGGGAUAGUCGGGGGCGUCAGUAUUCAGCUGUCAGAGGUGAAAUUCUUGGAUUUGCUGAAGACUAACUACUGCGAAAGCAUUCGCCAAGGAUGUUUUCAUUAAUCAGGGAACGAAAGUUAGGGGAUCGAAGACGAUCAGAUACCGUCGUAGUCUUAACCAUAAACUAUGCCGACUAGGGAUCGGACGGUGUUUCUAUUAUGACCCGUUCGGCACCUUACGAGAAAUCAAAGUUUUUGGG